rnacentral:rRNA from 1 species
UCGAAGGUAGCAUAAUCAGUAGUUUUUUAAUUGAAAACUUGUAUGAAUGGUUUAACAAAAUAUAAGCUGUUUCAAUUUAUUUAAUUAGAAAUUAAUUUUUUAGUUAAAAAGCUAAAAUAUUUUAAAAAGACGAGAAGACCCUAUAGAUUUUUAUAAUAAUUAUUUUUUUUUUUAUAAAGAAUAUUUUAAUUAAAAAUUUUAUUAUUAUUUUAUUGGGGUGAUAAUAAAAUUUAAUAAACUUAUAUUUAAUUUUACAAAUAUAAUUGAAUUUUUGAUCCAUUUUUAUGAUUAAAAGAUUAAAUUACCUUAGGGAUAACAGCGUAAUUUUUAUAUAAAGUUCAUAUUAAAAUAAAAUUUUGCGACCUCGAUGUUGGAUUAA